UACGUAGGGUGCGAGCGUUGUCCGGAAUUAUUGGGCGUAAAGAGCUUGUAGGCGGUUUGUCGCGUCUGCCGUGAAAGCCCAGGGCUUAACCCUGGGUCUGCGGUGGGUACGGGCAGACUAGAGUGUGGUAGGGGAGACUGGAAUUCCUGGUGUAGCGGUGAAAUGCGCAGAUAUCAGGAGGAACACCGGCGGCGAAGGCGGCCCUCUGGCUCGUUGCUGACGCUGAGGCACGAAAGCCAGGGGAGCAAACAGG
rnacentral:rRNA from 1 species